rnacentral:rRNA from 1 species
GUCUAUGGCCAUGCCACCCUGAACAAGCCCGAUCCUGUCUGAUCUCAGAAGCUAAGCAGGGUCGGGCCUGGUUAGUACUUGAAUGGGAGACCACCUAGGAAGACCAGGUGCCAUAGGCA